rnacentral:lncRNA from 1 species
GGAGCGGCUGCGCAGGCGGGGGCGCGCGGCGCGGGCCCGGGAGGGCGCGGCGGGAGCGCUAGGAAGGCGGGCGGAGGCGGGGGGCGGGGAGCCGGAGGGGUGGAAGCCGGCGGCGGCGGCGGCGGCGGCGGCCGAGCGGGGUCAGUUCUCUGUAGUGCUUGCCAAUGUUGGAGCCGUCUGCAAAGUGUCCCUGGCAAGAAGUUUUUGGAGCCGUGAGGGAUACAGCAGUUUGGUCAAUAUUGUUUUAACAUGCUUCAAAUAAAUCAGGAUGAGUCACUUCCAAUAGCAGGGCAUAGGGGAAGGGAAGCCAGCAAAGAGACAUAGACACUGUGUCCAAGUCAUUUCUGGGACCAGGGAUGGAAACGGAUUCUUCUGUGGAGAGACUUGCCUUGGCAGGUGAGGUAGACCAAGACUUUAUUAGCAACAGCUCUGGCUGCAA